rnacentral:tRNA from 1 species
GCCUCUAUAGCUCAGUGGUUUAGAGCAUGCGAUUGCAGUAUAUUCUGUUCAUCGCAGGGUCAGGCGUUCAAAUCGCCUUGGAGGCU